rnacentral:rRNA from 1 species
CAGCACGGGAGCAAUCCUGGUGGCGAGUGGCGAACGGGUGAGUAAUACAUCGGAACGUGCCCNGUCGUGGGGGAUAACGUAGCGAAAGCUACGCUAAUACCGCAUACGAACUCUGGUUGAAAGCGGGGGAUCGCAAGACCUCGCGCGAUUGGAGCGGCCGAUGGCAGAUUAGGUAGUUGGUGGGGUAAAGGCUCACCAAGCCGACGAUCUGUAGCUGGUCUGAGAGGACGACCAGCCACACUGGGACUGAGACACGGCCCAGACUCCUACGGGAGGCAGCAGUGGGGAAUUUUGGACAAUGGGCGCAAGCCUGAUCCAGCCAUUCCGCGUGCAGGAUGAAGGCCCUCGGGUUGUAAACUGCUUUUGUACGGAACGAAAAAGCCUGAGUUAAUACCUCGGGUCCAUGACGGUACCGUAAGAAUAAGCACCGGCUAACUACAUGCCAGCAGCCGCGGUAAU